GACGAACGCUGGCGGCGUGCUUAACACAUGCAAGUCGAACGGAAAGGCCCUGCUUGCAGGGUACUCGAGUGGCGAACGGGUGAGUAACACUUGGGUUAUCUGCCCUGCACUUCGGGAUAAGCCUGGGAAACUGGGUCUAAUACCGGCUAGGAGCCAUUUUUAGUGUGAUGGUUGGAAAGUUUUUUUCGUUGUAGUAUGAGCUCGCGGCCUAUCAGCUUGUUGGUGGGGUAAUGGCCUACCAAGGCGGCGACGGGUAGCCGGCCUGAGAGGGUGGACGGCCACAUUGGGACUGAGAUACGGCCCAGACUCCAACGGGAGGCAGCAGUGGGGAAUAGUGCACAAGGGGAGCAAGCCUGAUGCAGCGACGCCGCGUGGGGGAUGACGGGCUUCGGGUUGUAAACUCCUUUAGCUAGGGACGAAGCUUUUUGUGACGGUACCUAGAUAAGAAGCACCGGCUAACUACGUG
rnacentral:rRNA from 1 species